AUCGGUACCGAAUAAGUAGAGGUAACCAAUUUGUAGAGAAUUCAGAUAGUAAGUUGCCUUAAUAGGUUGAGUGCAUUGUCCCAUGUUAGCUCUUCAUUGUUAAUUGUAUAAUUAGUAGAAUUCCCUUCCUUUUAACAACUGACUCAUACAUUGUUAGCUCUAAACCAAACUCACGGCAGACAAUGCUACAUACCAACUAAUUUCAGCCCAGAAUUUCGACUGACAUUAACCACCCUAUAUGAUAAAUCCAACUACGCAUUUGCCCAGCCGAUUCACAGCAAAAAAGGC
rnacentral:lncRNA from 1 species